rnacentral:rRNA from 1 species
UGGGGAAUAUUGCACAAUGGAGGGAACUCUGAUGCAGCGACGCCGCGUGAACGAAGAAGGCUUUCGAGUCGUAAAGUUCUUUUAUAUGGGAAGACAAUGACGGUACCAUAAGAAAAAGCCCCGGCUAACUACGUGCCAGCAGCCGCGGUAAUACGUAGGGGGCUAGCGUUGUCCGGAAUCACUGGGCGUAAAGGGUUCGCAGGCGGAAAUGCAAGUCAGGUGUAAAAGGCAGUAGCUUAACUACUGUAAGCAUUUGAAACUGCAUAUCUUGAGAAGAGUAGAGGUAAGUGGAAUUUUUAGUGUAGCGGUGAAAUGCGUAGAUAUUAAAAAGAAUACCGGUGGCGAAGGCGACUUACUGGGCUCAUUCUGACGCUGAGGAACGAAAGCGUGGGUAGCAAACAGG